GCCAUUUUCAACUGACGCCAUUUUCCACUGAGAAGACGCUAACUUUGACAAUAAGAAAACCCGAGAAAUCCUAAACAGGAGGCGUUAAAAGUCAAGGAACUCAUCCCGCCGAUGCGCCGAAGAGGUAAACCUAAUGAAAGGCGCCCUGAUGGUCAUGGGCCCGGACAGAAUUACCAACACACAAAGAAUGUGUGCGGAUAGCCCCUACACCGUUUUCCAAACCAUGUCGGAUCUGGAAUUGUAAACCUGGAGAUGCGCCGAAGCAAGGAACUCAUGUCGCCAGCAUGCGGCUGUCCUCUGGUUAGUUGCGAAAGUCGGCUGCGCAGCGACGUGGGACUAUGUAUUCUGGAACUACUUUUAACCACCUUAUACUCGAUGGAAAAUGUCUACAAAUACGAAAAAUUUGGUCGAAUGCUGUUCUGAAUCAAUUCAGCUUCUGCUCGAGCUUGCAGCAACCUACGUUCACAUAUUUUUAUUAUUUUGAUGUAUAUUUUUGGAUGCUAAGAUUAACCAUUAAGUACGUAAGUGAGCUGGGACAAACACACAUGGAAUGUGAUGGGCAUGACGAUACGAUUGUCUAGCCAUCCGAUUCUAAACCUGGAGAUGCGCAGAAGCAAGGAACUUAUGUCGCCAGCACGUGGUUGUCUUUGACGGACAGGUGGGGAUGCACACCUGCGGAGAUCUUGAAACAUGUGUUCAUCAUGUCCCUCCACUGUCUGCCUGGCACAUUGGUGCGACAAGCUGCAUCGAAAAUAGCAACAUAAAUAUUAUCGACUUCGUUUGGAAGACCACUGCUAACCAUGAAAUGCAAUGAAGCUACUUUUAUAGCAGUUCACCCAGUAGGGUUAUGCGAACGCUUGGAGCCCCACGAUCAUCGCCCACAAUUAAAGGAAGAUCUUCAAAAUUACGUCGUCGCACAUGCCUUUAGAAAUCUGUUACGGCUCAUGGUCCCCUCCAAUUAGUUUUUUCAAAAAAUCUAGUAGCUUCUUAGAUAUCAUUAUUUAAGAGGCCUAUUUCAAGAUUAGUUAAAUUAUUUUUAGUCUGUAACCUGUAGUAUUCUGUAGUGUUCAUUAAAAAGAGUGAUAGAUUG
rnacentral:sRNA from 1 species